GAGAGAAGUGGGUCUGAGACUAAUGAUGAAAUGAAAGCUAUGUUUGCAAACAGACAGUCUAAAGGCAAGGGUCCCAAAUGUUACUAUUGUGGAAAGUUUGGACACAUUAAACGAAACUGUCGAGAACUGAAUAGUCUAAAACAUGAUGGGGACAAAAGUGAGUUUAAUGAGGGUAUUGACAACAAACAUAAAGCUAACACUGCAGCCAAAUCCAGACGAACAGACAGCAGCUCAGAUAGUGAUGAAGUGGGAUUGAUGGUGAAUCAUGCAUUUAGUUCUGUAAACGGGAGAACAAAUACAUGGAUAAUUAAUUCUGGAGCAACUUGUCAUAUGUGCAAUGAUGUGAGUCAGUUUGUGGAAUUGCAUAACUUGCAAAAGCCUGAAGAUGUCACUUAUGGAGAUGGUCAUGUUGUUAAAGCAACUGGACGGGGAGUCGUUAAAACAAAAAUAGAGUCUCCAAAUGGCCAAGAGGGAAAGAGUUGUGUACUGCAAGAUGUUCUUUAUGUUCCAAGCUUAUCGUAUAACCUAGUGAGCGUGUCUAAAGCUACAAAGUCUGGAAAGACUGUGAAGUUUAAUGAAGAUGGAUGUCACAUUCUUGAUGAAAGUCAAAAGCUGAUUGCCACUGCUAAAAAAGUAGGAAACCUGUAUUACCUGAAUUGCACGAACAGUCAUCAAGCAAACCCUACUGUAGGAUAUUCAAGCAUGGGAAGCAAAGAGGUC